rnacentral:rRNA from 1 species
UGGGGAAUAUUGGACAAUGGGCGAAAGCCUGAUCCAGCCAUGCCGCGUGUGUGAAGAAGGUCUUCGGAUUGUAAAGCACUUUAAGUUGGGAGGAAGGGCAGUAAGCGAAUACCUUGCUGUUUUGACGUUACCGACAGAAUAAGCACCGGCUAACUCUGUGCCAGCAGCCGCGGUAAUACAGAGGGUGCAAGCGUUAAUCGGAAUUACUGGGCGUAAAGCGCGCGUAGGUGGUUCGUUAAGUUGAAUGUGAAAGCCCCGGGCUCAACCUGGGAACUGCAUCCAAAACUGGCGAGCUAGAGUAGGGCAGAGGGUGGUGGAAUUUCCUGUGUAGCGGUGAAAUGCGUAGAUAUAGGAAGGAACACCAGUGGCGAAGGCGACCGCCUGGGCUCAUACUGACACUGAGGUGCGAAAGCGUGGGGAGCAAACAGG